rnacentral:rRNA from 1 species
AACGAACGCUGGCGGCAUGCCUAACACAUGCAAGUCGAACGAGACCUUCGGGUGUAGUGGCGCAUGGGUGCGUCACGCGUGGGAACCUGCCCUUAGGUUCGGAAUAACUCCCUGAAAGGGGUGCUAAUACCGGAUAAUGUCUUCGGACCAAAGAUUUAUCGCCUUUGGAUGGGCCCGCGUUGGAUUAGCUAGUUGGUAGGGUAAAAGCCUACCAAGGCGACGAUCCAUAGCUGGUCUGAGAGGAUGAUCAGCCACACUGGGACUGAGACACGGCCCAGACUCCUACGGGAGGCAGCAGUGGGGAAUAUUGGACAAUGGGCGAAGGCCUGAUCCAGCAAUGCCGCGUGAGUGAUGAAGGCCUUAGGGUUGUAAAGCUCUUUUACCCGGGAUGAUAAUGACAGUACCGGGAGAAUAAGCUCCGGCUAACUCCGUG